AGAGUUUGAUCCUGGCUCAGGACGAACGCUGGCGGCGUGGAUUAGGCAUGCAAGUCGAGCGACGGUGUUCCUUCGGGAGCAUACGGAGCGGCGAACGGGUGAGUAACGCGUGAACAACCUGUCCCUUUGUUCCGGAUAAUUGGGAGAAAUCCCUUGUAAUACGGGCGAGGACGGUCCUUUGGCAUCUUAGGAUCGGGAAACACGAAAGUGGCAUGGGGAGGGGUUCGCGACCUAUCAGGUAGUUGGUGUGGUAACGGCACACCAAGCCAACGACGGGUAGCUGGUCUGAGAGGAUGGUCAGCCACAUUGGAACUGAGACACUGUCCAGACUCCUACGGGGGGCUGCAGUCGAGAAUCUUGGGCAAUGCACGAAAGUGUGACCCAGCGACGCCGCGUGAAGGAUGAAGGCCCUCUGGGUCGUAAACUUCUUUUAAGGGGAAAGAAUGGGCUUCGGCCUUUGACGGUACCCUUUGAAUAAGCCACGGCUAACUACGUGCCAGCAGCCGCGGUAAUACGUAGGUGGCAAGCGUUGUCCGGAUUUACUGGGCGUAAAGCGAACGCAGGCGGACUGUUAAGUAAGAAGUGAAAGGUUGGAGCUCAACUCUGACACGGCUUCUUAUACUGGCAGUCUUGAGUCCUGGAGAGGAAAGCGGAACGACACGUGUAGCGGUGAAAUGCGUUGAUAUGUGUCGGAACACCGAUGGCGAAAGCAGCUUUCUGGACAAGUACUGACGCUAAGGUUCGAAAGCCAAGGGAGCGAACAGGAUUAGAUACCCUGGUAGUCUUGGCCAUAAACGAUGUUCACUAGGUGUCGGGGCUUUGCUUCGGUGCCGCAGCUAACGCAUUAAGUGAACCGCCUGGGAACUACGAUCGCAAGAUUAAAACUCAAAGGAAUUGGCGGGGGCCCGCACAAGCGGUGGAGCAUAUGGCUUAAUUCGAUGCAACGCGAAGAACCUUACCAGGGCUUGACAUGCAACUGCACGCUGUAGAGAUACAGUUCUUUCGAAGGUGUUGCACAGGUGGUGCAUGGCUGUCGUCAGCUCGUGUCGUGAGAUGUUGGGUUAAGUCCCGCAACGAGCGCAACCCUCACGGUCUGUUACCAGCGGAUAAUGCCGGGGACUCGGACUGAACUGCCUCUGUAAAGAGGAGGAAGGUGGGGAUGACGUCAAGUCAUCAUGCCCCUUACGCCCUGGGCUGCACAUAUGCUACAAUGGCCGGUACAAAGAGCUGCGAGCACGCGAGUGUCAGCAAAUCUCAAAAAGCCGGUCUCAGUUCGGAUUGGAGUCUGCAACUCGACUCCAUGAAGUCGGAAUCGCUAGUAAACGCCGGUCAGCAAUACGGCGUUGAAUACGUUCCCGGGCCUUGCACACACCGCCCGUCACGUGACGAAAGUCGGUCUCGCCCGAAGUCGCUGCGCUAACCGCAAGGAAGCAGGCGCCGAAGGCAGGGCUGGUAAUUGGCGCGAAGUCGUAACAAGGUA
rnacentral:rRNA from 1 species